UACGUAGGUGACAAGCGUUGUCCGGAUUUACUGGGCGUAAAGAGCGCGCAGGCGGUCGAUCAAGUCGAGUGUGAAAGCCCCCGGCUCAACUGGGGAGGGUCAUUCGAUACUGAUCGACUCGAAGGCAGGAGAGGGUAGUGGAAUUCCCGGUGUAGUGGUGAAAUGCGUAGAUAUCGGGAGGAACACCAGUGGCGAAGGCGACUACCUGGCCUGUUCUUGACGCUGAGGCGCGAAAGCUAGGGGAGCAAACUGG
rnacentral:rRNA from 1 species